GAAGACUCGGCAGGAUAUUCCUGAAGAUGAGGAAGUGAGGCAAAGGGGCUGAUGGAAGUCAUAUGCCUCUCUCUUCUCACUCUCCUUGGAAACAUGAGACCCAGCAGGAGACCAGAGAUCAGAGUACUUUCAGGAGGCUUGAGUCUGGAGACCUGGUAAGAUUUUCCUAAAGAAGAUGAUGGAGAAAACCAGUUGCAUGAGAGAAGGCUCCCAUUCCUUCCCUUCUUACUUCCAUGGGAUCCUGGAGACCUUGCAGGAGAAAAGGGGGUGAAGAUCUGGGAGGAGCCAGACAGAGCAGAAUUGAAGGCACCAGGCUGUGUAAUAACCACAUUUGCUGGAGGCCAGAGUUCCAGCUGGAGGAUAAUGAAGGUGACUCCC